rnacentral:lncRNA from 1 species
GAUAGAAAAGGAGAAGUCCUAUGUGAUUCACAAGACUGAGUUCAGAAAAUCUCUGAUCAGAGUAAGAGUGAAUACUAAAAAAGAAUUUUUACGAAAUUUACAUAUGAAUUCGAGUCAAGCCAAUCUAGCAUAUGACUGAUGAUGGGAUUUGAUGAGUUCUCCAUAAUCGCUAUCUAGUCGAAACUCAUGACAAAGAGAUUGUAUCACAUGAUAACUAUACCUAAGGAUUCAUCUUUUUUUUUCUACUGGGUUAUCACUACAUACUGCUAAGCGUUAC